AGUUUGAUCCUGGCUCAGGACGAACGCUGGCGGCGCGCCUAACACAUGCAAGUCGAACGGAGCUUAGAGAGCUUGCUUUUUAAGCUUAGUGGCGAACGGGUGAGUAACGCGUGAGUAACCUGCCCUAGAGUGGGGGCAACAAGUUGGAAAACCUUUUUUAAUACCCGCAUACGCCCCCGGGUCCCCCAGGGCAGGGGAGAAAAAGUUUUUUUCGGUUUAGGGCGGCCCCCCGCCCAAUUUAGUUGGUGGUGGAGGUACCGCCCCACACAAGGCCUAUUUUUUGUACCCGGAUUGAGAGGUUUAACCCGCCCACUUUGGGGAAUGAACCCCGGCCCCAGAUCUCUUAGGGGGAGCAGCAGUGGGGGAUUUUCCACAAUGGGGGGAAACCCUUGAAGGAAGGGACGCCGCGUGGGAGAAAGAAGUUUUUCGGAUUGUAAACUCCUGGUCGUUAGGGACGAUAAUGACGGUACCUAACAAGAAAGCACCGGCUAACUACGUGCCAGCAGCCGCGGUAAAACGUAGGGUGCAAGCGUUGUCCGGAAUUACUGGGUGUAAAGGGAGCGCAGGCGGGAAGACAAGUUGGAAGUGAAAACCAUGGGCUCAACCCAUGAAUUGCUUUCAAAACUGUUUUUCUUGAGUAGUGCAGAGGUAGAUGGAAUUCCCGGUGUAGCGGUGGAAUGCGUAGAUAUCGGGAGGAACACCAGUGGCGAAGGCGGUCUACUGGGCACCAACUGACGCUGAGGCUCGAAAGCAUGGGUAGCAAACAGGAUUAGAUACCCUGGUAGUCCAUGCCGUAAACGAUGAUUACUAGGUGUUGGGGGAUUGACCCCCUCAGUGCCGCAGUUAACACAAUAAGUAAUCCACCUGGGGAGUACGACCGCAAGGUUGAAACUCAAAGGAAUUGACGGGGGCCCGCACAAGCAGUGGAGUAUGUGGUUUAAUUCGAAGCAACGCGAAGAACCUUACCAGGUCUUGACAUCCGAUGCAUAACACAGAGAUGUGUGAAAUCCUUCGGGACAUCGAGACAGGUGGUGCAUGGUUGUCGUCAGCUCGUGUCGUGAGAUGUUGGGUUAAGUCCCGCAACGAGCGCAACCCUUAUUGCCAGUUACUACGUUAAGAGGACUCUGGCGAGACUGCCGUUGACAAAACGGAGGAAGGUGGGGAUGACGUCAAAUCAUCAUGCCCUUUAUGACCUGGGCUACACACGUACUACAAUGGCGUUAAACAAAGAGAAGCAAGACCGCGAGGUGGAGCAAAACUCAAAAACAACGUCUCAGUUCAGAUUGCAGGCUGCAACUCGCCUGCAUGAAGUCGGAAUUGCUAGUAAUCGCGGAUCAGCAUGCCGCGGUGAAUACGUUCCCGGGCCUUGCACACACCGCCCGUC
rnacentral:rRNA from 1 species